rnacentral:rRNA from 1 species
GAUGAACGCUGGCGGCGUGCUUAACACAUGCAAGUCGAACGGUGAAGGCGGAGCUUGCUCUGCUGGAUCAGUGGCGAACGGGUGAGUAACACGUGAGCAAUCUGCCCCUGACUCUGGGAUAAGCGCUGGAAACGGCGUCUAAUACUGGAUACGAGCUGCGAAGGCAUCUUCAGCAGCUGGAAAGAAUUUCGGUCAGGGAUGAGCUCGCGGCCUAUCAGCUUGUUGGCGAGGUAAUGGCUCACCAAGGCGUCGACGGGUAGCCGGCCUGAGAGGGUGACCGGCCACACUGGGACUGAGACACGGCCCAGACUCCUACGGGAGGCAGCAGUGGGGAAUAUUGCACAAUGGGCGAAAGCCUGAUGCAGCAACGCCGCGUGAGGGACGACGGCCUUCGGGUUGUAAACCUCUUUUAGCAGGGAAGAAGCGAAAGUGACGGUACCUGCAGAAAAAGCGCCGGCUAACUACGUG